GAAUGGUCUAAUGCCUCCCAUCAAAAAGAGAGCUGGCCCAAGCAAGCACAGGUUACACCUGAAUCAUGAGGACUUGCAAGUGGUGAACUUCAACAACUACGCAGAGGAUAAUGCAAUCGUGUUACCAGGACGCCACCCAGGACACAAACACUUUGGUGGAAAGCUGCUGCCAUCCCAUGUGACAAAAGCAGCAGUGUGGCGUCUCUACAAGGAAUCGAUGACAACACUUGAGGUACGUGUAGUCAUACUUCCAGUUUCCAAGAUGAUGUUCUUUCUGUAUGCAGUGCUGCUGCUCUGCACAUUUGUGCACUAUCCUUCUGACCCUAUGCCAGGUCCCAUUUACUUAUUAACUCCACGCAAAUCGGGCUUGUUUGGUGUCUGCUGUGAAGGAAUACCACAACAAGUCAACUACUUGAUUGAUGAAGGUAUGUCAUCCAGCAAAGGCAGCAGCGCAGUCAACUACAUGCACCAUUUCUUCACCAACUAGUUGGAUAAAAACACGUUGACCUGAAUUGUGAUAACUGCAGUGGCCAAAACAAGAACAAGUUUGUGCUCUGGUAUUGUGCCUGGCGGACCAUUCACAAGCUCCACCACAGUCUGGACCUUCACUUCCUGAUCACAGACCACACCAAGUUUGACCCCGACUGGUGCUUUGGCCUCAUCAAGCAGCUCUUCAGAAAGACCAGAGUGAACACUGUGAGAUUUCUGCUGUUGUGAAGGACAGCACUGUGACAGGGGUCAACAUCCCACAGCUGGUUGGACUGGAGGAUGGUACGGUGCUGGUGGAAAGCUAUGGCUGGCAACAACACCUGACUACAUACUUCAGGCCUCUGCCACAGAUCAAGCAGUAUCAGCGCGUCAGCUUCGAUGCUCUGGAGCCUGGUGUUUUCGCAAAGGAGCGUUCGGACUCAGUCGGGACCAGGUUUCAGCUGUUGCGCAAUGCUGACAUCCUUCCUCCCAUAGAUGGUCUGCCUGUACAAGCACCACCUGGACUGGACACAGCUCGACAGAUCAGGGAGUUUUGUGACGAAAAGGCUAUGGACAUCACAUUUAUUUUGAUAUUGCUACUAUGCAAGUAACCAUUUGGCUGUACCGUUUAUACCCUCUUUAGAGACCCAUCCACUUGGCAAUAUGUGGCUGGGGAUUAUAGCAUUUCUUUCACAUGGCCCAUCAAUUUAGACAAGUGUGUCUGGGUAAGCAUCAUCUAAUUUAUUGUUUACCUGGAUUUUUUAAAUUAAUCUUUACUACACUACUCGCUUUUUAGCACAUGACCUCACAUGUGAAUCCUUAAGAGAAGGGUGGGGCUGGCUUAAGUGGGUGUGAACAAUGCUGAAUGGGUGUCGACAAAGAAGAGCUCUACAGUAGGUACAAAAACAUUCUCAAAAGUGAGUUUACAAGUUUGUCUACUUUCAAAGCAUAAUUACUUUCCCAUUAUUCCUCAAAUGCAGUGUAUGAUAUACCAUUUUGUAGCUCUGAGUCUACUUUUAUCCAAUGUAAAAAAAAAAAAAAAAAUUUUUUUUGCUACAUAAGACCGAUUUGAGUCAGUCAGUUAAUAUUUACGGUGUGGAUACUUCUUAGGCAUCAGUGCAGUUUGAAAUAACUACCUGGAUUGGUCAAAUGCUACUUCAUUGAAUUGGAGGAUAGAUUGCAUUUGCCAGAAGAUACCGAACAUACCGUUAUGCGCAAUGCAUGUUUACACAGAUGCACUGCAGGCGGUUUGGUUUCAUUAAGACACCGUGGAGCCCGCGCGUGAAAUGGAUUGGAAAACAUACCUCAAUGCAGAGAUGGGAUAUGCCACUGUACUCUAAAUGUUAACUUUAUCCACACUGCUUCAUCGAGAAGAUUGAAAUACUGUUCGUUUUCCCAGAAAACUGCCCUUUUUGUUCCCAUGCUAGCUAGCAGUGGGCAAUGCAGCCAUUUUGCAAUGGCAGCAUCAGCUAAUGGUCCUUGCUAUCAGAAAUCCUUGGGGAUGUCCCUUAAAAUGGUUAGGGUAGUGCUUAGGGUAGGGACAUCAAGGAUUCCAGAUAGUACUAACAAUUUCAUAAUGGCCGAGGUGGCUACUGCUAGCUAGCAGAUGACGAAAAGCCAGUAUUCCAAUGUUCUCUAACAGUAUUCCAAUGUUCUCGAAGGAGCAGUGUGGAUUAAGAUACAAUUUGGAGUAUAGUGGUAUUAAGUGCCUUCAGAAAGUACUCACACCCCUAGACUUUUCCCACAUUUCAUUGUGCUACAGCCUGAAUUCAAAAUGUAUUAAAAGUGAAAAAAUUGUCACUGGUCUGCACACAAUACCUCAAUGUCCAAGGUGAAUGUUUCUUAAAGUAUUGUCACAAAUUAAUAAAAAAUGAAAAUGCUGAAAUGUAUGUAUUCAACCCCUUUGAUAUGGCAAUCUUAAAUUUACAUUUACAUUUAAGUCAUUUAGCAGACGCUCUUAUCCAGAGCAGGAGUAAAAAUGUGCUUAACAAGUCACAUAAGUUACAUGGACUCACUGUGUGCAAUAAUAGUAUUUAACAUGAGAUGAGGCUAGUCCUUGAAAAAAUAUCAUCACACAUAAAAUUAUCUGUAAGGUCCCUCAGUCAAGCAGUGAAUUGCAAACACUGAUUCAACCACAAAGACCAGGGACAUUUUCCAAUGCCUCUGAAAGAAGGGCACCUACUUCUAAUGGGUAAAAUUAAAAUAAAAGCAGAUCUUGAAAAUGCUUUUGAGCCUGGUGAAGUUAUUACACUCUGGAUGGUGUAUCAAUACAGCCAGUCACUACAAAGAUACAGGUGUCCUUCCCAACUCAGUUGC